CGCCGGUUAGUGUGGGUCCAUCGCAUCGCUCUAGCCGCCUCCUCCUCCGUCUCGGUCGCCUCGACCCUCGAGCCCCCCACCCCUUCUCCUUUUCUCCCCAAAAUUUCGCAGCACACGCAACCUCUCCAUUUUCGUCUUUCCACAAUAUAGUCCUUCCCAUUCUUGGCAGGAGGUAGAGCAGGUGCUAGCGGCCGGGAAGGUGGGGAGGAGGAGGAGGGGAAGCGGCUGCGAGCACGCCACCGGCCCUGGACCUCGAGGGAGGAUUGGCUGGGAGGAGAAGGCGGCGGCGGCGGUUUCAAUCUGUGAUCUGGCACCGGCGCCGCCACAUUGACAGAUGGCAGGAUCUGAGGUCAGCCCUCUCCCGUGCGCCGGCGUCGGUGACAGCCGGGAGCACCACCAAGUCGUGGCAGUCCGCCUCCGGCUUCUCUGAUCAGUGGUUGUCGAGUGAGCACCGGUUUUGUGGCCUUUCAUCGAUAGAUCGUGUUGUUCAUCUUCCUGUGGUGGGCCUUCUGCUUCGUUUGUGGUCAAGAUGAGUUUCUGCUAUAUUUGUCCGUGUGAUUUUGUGUUUUCGGUGUCCUUAGAUUCAUAUGUAUGUUUGUCGAUUCAUGCUCAGUAGGUGUUUGAUGCUAUGCCAUCCAUAUGGUGGCCUGAGAUUUUGAUUUCUUUUGUCAGAAAUCGCACAAAUUAGCUCAUUCUCGACUUCGAUUCGGCGUUCAGUGUGCUGAGUGGAUCGUCUCUGCAGUUCAGGUGCUGUUUGGGAUCUCUUUGAGCUAGGUUCAGUUACUUCAGAUUGGUCUCGGUUUGUUAUUCUCGCUAUUAUUUUGGUUGCGCUCUCUUGUGAUGCGGUUGUGUAUUGCCGAGUCUUUACUCCCUCCGUCCCACAAUAUAAGAUUGUUUUUCAACCUAACAUAGCUUGAAAAACAAUCUUGUAUUGUGGGACAGUGGGAGUACUACUGUAGUAUUCAUGGCAAAAAUUGGUGAAGACUCAGUCUCCAGCGCUCCAUGUGGUUUGAUUCCCAGGAUCAUCUAAGGUUCUAUUUGGCAUGACGCAAUAUGGUUGAACUGCUUUUAGAUAUUUGGGUGUUUAGUUAGCGCCUUUUUUUCAUAAGAAGCCAGUUGCAAAUGGAUACAUUAUUGUACUUUAGAACAUAUGAGACGAGGAUACUAUAACAGUUGUUGGAUAACAUAACUUUCAACUUUAUAAUCUGCUCUACUGCAGAGUAUAGGCUUUUUCACAACAGCUUAAAGUUAAGCACAGCACAACACAUUAACCACAGACUGAGCCUCACUGUCCUUCACCUGUUCUACACAGCAACUGAUGGUGGUAUACUGACAUGAUAAUUAAUCGUGUUGUAAGGCUUCUAUCUUUUCUGAUGACAUAAUAAUCGGCAUAAUUCAAUAUGAGCAAAGCCCAAAACAGAAAGCUGUGGCGCACUUGGCUAAUACACAGUCACACUCACUGUAUCACCACAUAUGGUCUUCUAGUCACCCCUAUAUACUUUAAUGAAGACCAUUUUGGUCUUUCAUCACUAACUGUGUAAGACUUAAACUAGUGGUGUAAAAUGUUCUAAGGGUACAGUGCAACUGACUUAGGAUUUAGAGGAAUUUAAAUGAAGAUAUCCGGUAUGGGUUGUUAGUUGAGCUAUCAGCUACUGUGGUCAUAUGCAUAAUGAACUCGCUGCCAUAGCACCACACCGCUAGUGAGGUAGCAAGGUAUGCCUCCCAAGAAUACGACCAUAAAGGGGGAUGCUAAAUAUACUUAACUAUAGAUAGAAACAGUACUUGAAAUGUCCAUGUCUGUGUGAUACUUCUCUUUUUCUUCUUUUAGAUAUGCACAUCAACAACUGCAGGUAUUAUUAUUUGAAAUAAAUUUGGUUUGACUAGUUAAACUAUACUUUCUUUUGUUAACAAAUCAGUUUGAUUUUUUAAUUAUUUUUGUUGCCAAAAGUUGCUGAAAACGCAGACAAAUUUAGAUGAUGCAUUCUAUCUGGUGUAUUGAUGACUUGGCUAAUUCUCAUGCAGUUACUGCGAGUGUUUUCAUGCUGGAGUCUUCUGUUCAGAACCCUGUUCAUGUCAAGGUUGUCUGAAUAAGCCUAGCAACAUGGAGAUAGUGAGAGCAUUUCAUUUUCAUUUGAUGCACUCCAUCCACAUCUUUCAUGUUACAAUUAAAUUCACUCAGUGCAGCACGAAACCUUCUGUAUAUAUUUGCAGUAUCUACAAUCUUUCUUCACUGGCGGCUAGAUAUCUUUUUGGGUGAAUCCACACAUGAUAUAGCUAAUAUCCUGUAUGGAGAAUUAAUUUAGGUCUGUUUUGGUGGCCAACUACUGAUAUGUUUUUAGGGGCUAGAACAAGGCACAUACUAUUUUUUUUCCUUUCGAUUGGGUGAUAUACCCCACAGCUGUAAAGAAAUGAAGUUGCAGUGUCGUACGGCAAAUUAAUUUAGCUUUGUUUCGGUGGCCAACUGCUGACAUCUUAUUAGUGGCUAGAACAAGGCACGUACUGUUUUUUUUUCUUUCGAUUGGAUGAUAUACCCCAUAGCUGUAAAUAAUGAAGUUGCAGUGUAAUGAUAUAUCAUCUUAUUUCUGCA